rnacentral:pre_miRNA from 1 species
GUGGGAUGAGGUAGUAGAUUGUAUAGUUUUAGGGUCAUACCCCAUCUUGGAGAUAACUAUACAGUCUACUGUCUUUCCUAC